AGAGUUUGAUCCUGGCUCAGAUUGAACGCUGGCGGCACGCCUUACACAUGCAAGUCGAACGGCAGCGCGGGGCAACCUGGCGGCGAGUGGCGAACGGGUGAGUAAAAUAUCGGAACAUACCCUAGAGUGGGGGAUAACGUAGCGAAAGUUACGCUAAUACCGCAUACGCACUAAGGUGGAAAGUGGGGGAUCUUCGGACCUCAUGCUCAUGGAGUGGCCGAUAUCUGAUUAGCUAGUUGGUGAGGUAAAGGCUCACCAAGGCGACGAUCAGUAGCUGGUUUGAGAGAACGACCAGCCACACUGGAACUGAGACACGGUCCAGACUCCUACGGGAGGCAGCAGUGGGGAAUUUUGGACAAUGGGGGCAACCC
rnacentral:rRNA from 1 species